rnacentral:rRNA from 1 species
GAUGAACGCUGGCGGUGUGCCUAAUACAUGCAAGUCGAGCGAAUGGAUUGAGAGCUUGCUCUUAUGAAGUUAGCGGCGGACGGGUGAGUAACACGUGGGUAACCUGCCCAUAAGACUGGGAUAACUCCGGGAAACCGGGGCUAAUACCGGAUAACAUUUUGAACCGCAUGGUUCGAAAUUGAAAGGCGGCUUCGGCUGUCACUUAUGGAUGGACCCGCGUCGCAUUAGCUAGUUGGUGAGGUAACGGCUCACCAAGGCAACGAUGCGUAGCCGACCUGAGAGGGUGAGCGGCCAACCUGGGACUGAGACACGGCCCAGACUCCUACGGGAGGCAGCAGUAGGGAAUCUUCCGCAAUGGACGAAAGUCUGACGGAGCAACGCCGCGUGAGUGAUGAAGGCUUUCGGGUCGUAAAACUCUGUUGUUAGGGAAGAACAAGUGCUAGUUGAAUAAGCUGGCACCUUGACGGUACCUAACCAGAAAGCCACGGCUAACUACGUGCCAGCCGCCGCGGUAA